AUGCCAACCCUAGAGAUUUCUCCUCCCUCCCACUGCAGCUUUGAUUUUCUUCUUUAUUUCUGGCACCAAGAGGAUUGUUUAGCUUUUGAGCUUGGAUAUCUACUAAAAAAAAGAGUGGUCCACACAUGUGAUCCCAGCACUGGGAGGCUGAAGCAGGAGGAUCUCUGUAAGUUCCAGGCCAGCCNUCUGGGUUACAUAGCAGGAUCCUGUCUCAAACUACAGCCCCCUGGAAAAUACAACAUUUGCAAAUCCCUAGGUACCAUCCCCAGCAUUGACAAAAAAGAAACAAAAUAAAACUCAAGAACACAUCCUUGUUAUAUUUUGCUUAAUGUAUGUAUGUGUUUGGGGUUCAAGAUACGACAUUCUGGGCUGAACUAAAGUCCCCGUGGCUCACAAAACCCAAGACAACAGAAAGUCUGGGUCCAAAGUUUGUUUUUGUUUUUUUUUUCAGGUACCAGGAAUUGAACUCAGGGCCUUGUGGUUGCCAGGCAGGCACGGUGCCACUAAGCUACAUCCAGGCCCUGGGUCCAAAGUUCUGAUAAUUCAAGUCUCUGGAAUAAACUAACAGUAGUCAGAUUAACAGUAAACAAAUUUAAGAUACAAUAUGUCUAUGUAUCAAUUACCCACGAUGAAUGUAAUUAUAAUGUAUCACAAACAUGCAUUAAUUAAAAAACUAAAAAAAAGACAAAAAAUAGAUAAAUGAACCAUUUUGAUUAUGUGCACACACACAGGAGCUAUACAGAAUUGAGAUUGGAAAGGGGGUCAGAUGAUGGGAGUUUAUAAUUCUGAGCCACAAAAAGAAAGCUUUGAGAUUUUUUGUGGGGGAUGUGGCGACACCACAGGAGGGUGAAGGAAGGGAGCACAGGAGGUAAUAAAGGCUCGGGCAGAGCACUUGCCUAGCAGGAGCAAGGCCUUGGGUUCCAUCCUCGCACUCAGAAGAGAAAGAGAAGGGAGGAGAGAGGAGGGGAAGGAGGAGAAGGAGGAAGAGGAAGAAAGCCAGGCAUUCUGGUGCAUGCCUGUAACCCCAGCACUUUGGGAAGCUGAAGCAUGAAGAUCACACAUUUGAACACUGCCUGGGGAACUUACUGACUUAAACAGAUCAUAUGUCAAAAAUUUUUAAAAAGAGCUGGGGAUUUAGCUCAAUGUGAAAGCCCUGAGUUUAACAUCCAGUUCCACAAAACAAACAAAACAAAAAACCACACACACACACACACACACACACACACACACAAACAAAAAAAAAAAAAAAAAAGGGGGCGGCGGGGGUGGGCCGGGCUGUGAUGGCGGUGAGGCAAGGUGCGUUCGGGAUGGGUGUGUGAAGCACAGCUCUAGGGGCAGUGUGUGCGUGAGGGAAGCGGGGUGCGGACGUACAAGUGAGCAGUCGGGGUGUUGGAGGCCCCUGGGAGUUGGGAAGGGGUGGAGAUUGUGCUCGUGUUGUGGUGUACAGGAGUUGUGUGGAAGAUACACAGUGUCUGAGGUGUGCAGUACCGUUUGUGUGAAAUGUGGGUUGGUGGGUUGGGAAAUUGAAUUUAAUCAAACUCUCCCUAAGUCUGGUGAUGGCACAGGCCUGUAUCUUAGCUACUAGGGAGGCUGAGAAGAAGGGUCUCAAGUUUUACUCCAGCCUGAGCAAUUUAGCAAAAUCUUGUCUCAAAAUAAAAUUUUAAAAGGGCUGGAGGUGUAGCCAGCGCUCCCUGAAUACCAGUAAAACAAAACAAAACCAACCAAACAAACAAAAAGCAGGUAGCUGUCUUUCAUACAAAUGCAAUUCUUACUCUUUCCUCAAAAAUAAGGAAAGAGUACCAAAGGUACACAGUACCAAAGGUGAGUCACAUUCUUCCUGAAUAUUCUCUUCCUAAACACUAAAAGUAAAGUUAACUCCCAACAAUUUGUAUAAAAAUAAAAAAGGAGGGCUAGGGAUUUAGCUCAGUGGUUCUGCCGCCUGCUUCACAAGCACAAGGUCCGGAGUUCAAUCCCUAGUACCAAAAAUAAAAAAUAAAAAUAAAAAAGGAGCCGGGGAUGGGGCCUGAGGAGGAUUGCCAAUUCAGCCAAGCCUGGGUAAUUUACCAAUUUAGCGAGACCCCUGUCUCAGAAUAAAAAUAAAUAAGGGUCAGUCCCUGGGUUCAACCCCAAGUACAGUAAGACACACACACACACACACACACACACACACACACACGCACGCACGCACACGGGCUUCCAGGCCCUUACUUGUGGAGUAGUGGACCGCCCCACAAGUUUAUAAGGACUCACGCAGCCGAGGGCUGCACCGUGAGCUCUCGGUUCGGCUCAGGGUCCGCGCCCGGGCAUGGUGGAGGCGACCGAGGCCAGCUUGAGGCCGGGGUCUGCAGCGGGCUGCU
rnacentral:lncRNA from 1 species